rnacentral:lncRNA from 1 species
UUGGGGCUAAAAGAUAACACAAAGGUAAGUUUGGUCCAGUGGCAGAGGCGCUGGGAGUGUGAUGUAGUACCUAUGUUCGUGGGUUGGCGCACGCAAAAGCUUGUUUUUAUUUUAGAAACCAGGUCACACUAAAGUAAGGUUUAAGAAAAGUUGCAACUGAGUUAUGCUACAAGGACGCUUGUGGCAGUAGGGUGCUAGGAGUUCCACAAGGGCACGGGUUCUAGUCCUGGAGCGGGCGAAUUCUGUUUUAUUUUUAAGGCAGGCCAGAACUGAAGCGGGUUAA